GUGUCUUUAAUGUGAAUAGAGGUGCUAUGUCAGUCAAGUUGGGAGGUUAUCCGAUACGUCGGACAUUAACUUAUUAAGUUUGUAAUUUCCAAACUGUGCUAUUUAUAAGAUGUCCGUCUGUCGUAUCGUAGACCAGCAGUGCAGUUAAUAGUUAUCCUUGAUCAAUUUGUCUGUCGUCUCAAUUGCGAAUCGUUCAGUGGAAAAAGUGUAAGGGUGGACAUUGUGGUAGGACACGGAUCGCAGUCAUAUAACACGACAAGCCUUCGAAUACAUUCCUUGUAUUACAGAGAUUUGUAGUACAGAGUGUCGUGUUAUUUUCAUCAAGAUUAUUGCUGCUUGUAAUUUUAUAUUGCCGCAUUUGCUCCAGUCACUCGACGAUAUACAUAUUUAUUCAAAGUGACGCAACAAUAUCUUCCUCCAACAUCCACCCUGUGAAAUGAGUGUUUUCACAGCUGGAUAGGCUAUCGGUGAGUCUUGGCAUGCAUUCCCAGGGAGACGGAAAUACUUUGUCAAACGAUGCGCAACAAACGAGAAGGAUCACUCGCGUUGUCUAUACCACGCCAAUUACAAUGAUGCGACAAAACCACUAGCCAGUGAAGAUCUGGUGAGUGGUGACACCACCUGAAUGCAAAUGCCGCCUCGUGAACGCUCGUGAACCGGUUUGAAUCGAAGGAUUCUUCGUGAUUUUGCCAUUCAACAUGGAUUGGUUGCGAGGGGCAGAGACUUAAUUGAACAACGGUGGACUCCUUUGGCAAGGAGCGCUUUCGCAAAUCCUGCGCUGAUCCCGAUGAUGGAUGAUGUCAAUCCGUAGCCUAUACCCGAACUUCCCCAAGUCAGACAUCGAUCACCAACAACGCAGUCAGAUGACACUCUGUUCCGACCGUAUCCUCUCUUCAAUCCGACCAACAAUAACGUCCCUGAUGUCGAAGAUGCCACCUCUGAAACGAAGCAGAUUGCUUGUGGUGUCGGACCUGACUCACCACCGACGGAGUUAAUCCGAUACCGGCCCAGCUGACCGCAUAGUCGGUAGAACCAAUGCGAUCCCGAAUUCUUGGCCAUUUAUCCCCCAGCCAUCGUUUAUUCACCUGCCAUUUCGCCCGUUUGCUUGCCAGCAUUAGCCAGUUCCGCCGUUGAUCAAUUCGAAUGCCAAGGUGCUGCCAUCAUGGGAAAGGGGAAUCUCAAAUUUGGUAAAGCACCAGCAUUUGAGAUUUGAGAUCAUAUCCGUUAUUUUCGUUCUAGAUGGAUCCGCGCCCAAUAUGCUCUGCGACAAGCAACUGUCAAGAUUGUUACUAAUGCCGAAUGUAAUGCCUUAUCAUACGGAGGCAAAAUUAAGCCCCAGCAGUUCUGUGCAACAACUUAUGGAAAAGACUCGUGUCAUUGGUGUCAAGGUGACAGCUGCGGGCCGAAUCUGCGAGCUAUUAAUCGGCUGUGCGAAUCCAGCAUUUACAUGGAGUUUACGCCAAAGUGGCAUUUUUCCGGAACUGCAUUAAUACUUACAUGCAGGAACAAGGAAACACUACUUGACGACCAGAUUAUAUUUCCGAAGUCCAGGCGACCCAAAUCUGGAUUACGGUGUAUCUAUCUAUGCUCAUCCUGAAAUCCAAAUUUUAAAAAAAUCACACGAAAUGAAUUCUCAUCAUUUUCGCAUUGCGGUGACGGAUAAUUAUUUAUCUGAUUAAGUUAAAUGGCCUUUUUAAAAUUUGUUUUUUCUAUAUUGCUAUCUGAUACGAUUGGUUCUUUUACCACUUUUUUUACGUCUGAUUUCUUCCCACUCAAUUAACUGUAUGCGAUCCCAAAAAUUCUUUUGGUUUGGUAUGAUAUUAUUCGUAUAUCUGAUUUGCAUUUUACGGAAUAAAUCGGGUAUUUAAAGAAACAAAA